rnacentral:lncRNA from 13 species
AUGUCAUCAUCAGUAUCUCAUUUUAAAUCUGUUUGUUUUAGACAUGUCAACUCCUGAGAGUACAAGAGAUGAGAGACUUCCUCAUGGGACUCUGAAGGGAAUCCGAAGUUCUCUGGUUCUCUAAAGGUACUUUGAACCAAGAUUUCAAAGUCCUGAGCUUGCCAUGUUUCUUCUACAAGAUCUCCAGCAGUCUGAAGCAGCUAGCCCACCCUUACAGUUAGUACCAUCCUCCUUUCCACCUUAAUGUGCUUCUGUGUCAACUACGGUCCACAAGGGGGCGUAGUUUCUAGAGCAAGAACUUCCCAGGGCAAUAUUUUCUCCCCUUCCCAUCCAUCUUCAUCUGGGAAAUUUAACGAUUUAUGUUUAAAUUUCACUGGCGUGGGAAGAAGCUAAGAGUCAAUCACUCCAGCAGAAGUUCUAAGGAACUCCUUUCCUUAGAGAAGAACAGCUAUGACUCAUCAUCCUGAAGUAAGCAGCAGCUCCGACGCACUGGAUGCUGAAAAACUGACAGGUGUGUUUGCCCUUUGUACAUCCACUGGCCCCAUCAAGCUGCUCCUCUCAUCACUUCCCUAAG